CGCUCCUACCGAUUGAAUGAUC
rnacentral:siRNA from 1 species